rnacentral:rRNA from 1 species
UACGUAGGGUGCGAGCGUUGUCCGGAAUUACUGGGCGUAAAGAGCUCGUAGGUGGUUUGUCGCGUUGUCCGUGAAAACUCACAACUCAAUUGUGGGCGUGCGGGCGAUACGGGCAGACUGGAGUACUGCAGGGGAGACUGUAAUUCCUGGUGUAGCGGUGGAAUGCGCAGAUAUCAGGAGGAACACCGGUGGCGAAGGCGGGUCUCUGGGCCGAUACUGACGCUGAGGAGCGAAAGCGUGGGGAGCGAACAGG